UACGUAGGGGGCAAGCGUUGUCCGGAAUCAUUGGGCGUAAAGCGCGCGUAGGCGGCCCGGUAAGUCCGUUGUAAAAGUCAAAGGCUCAACCUUUGAAAGCCGAUGGAUACUGCCGGGCUAGAAUCCGGAAGAGGCGAGUGGAAUUCCUGGUGUAGCGGUGGAAUGCGCAGAUAUCAGGAGGAACACCGGUGGCGAAGGCGGGUCUCUGGGCCGAUACUGACGCUGAGGAGCGAAAGCGUGGGGAGCAAACAGG
rnacentral:rRNA from 1 species